rnacentral:rRNA from 1 species
CAGGCCUAACACAUGCAAGUCGAACGGAUCCUUCGGGAUUAGUGGCGGACGGGUGAGUAACACGUGGGAACGUGCCCUUUGGUUCGGAACAACUCAGGGAAACUUGAGCUAAUACCGGAUGUGCCCUUCGGGGGAAAGAUUUAUCGCCAUUGGAGCGGCCCGCGUCUGAUUAGCUAGUUGGUGAGGUAAAGGCUCACCAAGGCGACGAUCAGUAGCUGGUCUGAGAGGAUGAUCAGCCACAUUGGGACUGAGACACGGCCCAAACUCCUACGGGAGGCAGCAGUGGGGAAUCUUGCGCAAUGGGCGAAAGCCUGACGCAGCCAUGCCGCGUGAAUGAUGAAGGUCUUAGGAUUGUAAAAUUCUUUCACCGGGGACGAUAAUGACGGUACCCGGAGAAGAAGCCCCGGCUAACUUCGUGCCAGCAGCCGCGGUAAUACGAAGGGGGCUAGCGUUGCUCGGAAUUACUGGGCGUAAAGGGAGCGUAGGCGGACUGUUAAGUUAGAGGUGAAAGCCCAGGGCUCAACCUUGGAAUUGCCUUUGAUACUGGCAGUCUUGAGUACGGAAGAGGUAUGUGGAACUCCGAGUGUAGAGGUGAAAUUCGUAGAUAUUCGGAAGAACACCAGUGGCGAAGGCGACAUACUGGUCCGUUACUGACGCUGAGGCUCGAAAGCGUGGGGAGCAAACAGG